rnacentral:lncRNA from 1 species
CACCUUCAGUGGUCAGGGAUGAGCACUCUCCUCUUAUGGCUGCAUCAAGGCACACACUCAAUUAUCCCUGCAUGGAUACGCGUGUGUAUGAGUAGAGGGGGGCUGACUACACGGGCAGGCAGGUAGAGAUCACACAGCAAGAGGCUCCGUUUCAUCUCAAACCAACCGACUGACGUGUUACAAAUCCCACCAGCAGCAGCAGCAGCAGCACUGAACAAACCUGCCAGCACUCGUCAGAGGACCUGUGAUGCCUUUGCUCAAGCUUUCAUGGAGUGGCCCCGGACAUAAUGGAUGACGCAAGUUUGCCAUCAAUCCCCUGUGAUGCCUGACCCCAGCUUGGAAACCGCUGUGAUUUCACUCCCACAACCACCACCACCACCAUCAUUUAACAGUGACUUGGAUGGACUGGCAAUGAAAGAGGGUGACGAAACACAGAGGCACACACCUGCACUCAUUCUCCCGCGUCUUGGGACCUUGUCACCAGAGAAAGAUCUCCACAGGGAAGCCCAGGCCAGCGUUUUCCAGUCCACCCUCCCUGGCCACCACCCCCCAGUGUGCGUCCACAGCAGAGAGCUCACUGCUGCCCUUAACAGGUGGGCCGGGGCACGGCGCGGCGGGGCGGGGCGGGGCAGGGCAGGGCGAGAGGCAUCUGUCAACAAACUCUGCAUUCAUCCCUCUCUCCUGCACUACGUUUCCAUCUGCCCCAGAGAGACAGAGUGA